rnacentral:rRNA from 1 species
AUUGAACGCUGGCGGCAGGCCUAACACCUGCACGUCGAACGAGUGGCGGACGGGUGAGUAAUGUCUGGGAAACUGCCCGAUGGCGGGGGAUAACUAAUGGAAACGGUAGCUAAUACCGCAUACCAUCGGAUGUGCCAAGAUGGGAUUAGCUAGUAGGUGGGGUAAUGGCUCACGUAGUCGACGAUCCCUAGCUGGUCUGCGAGGAUGACCAGCCACACUGGAACUGAGACACGGUCAAGACUCCUACGGGAGGCAGCAGUGGGGACUAUUGCACAAUGGGCGCAAGCCUGAUGCAGCCAUGCCGCGUGUAUGAAGAAGGCCUUCGGGUUGUAAAGUACUUUCAGCGAGGAGGCGUUACUCGCAGAAGAAGCACCGGCUAACUCAGUGCCAGCAGCCGCGGUAAUUC